rnacentral:rRNA from 1 species
UACGGAGGGGACUAGCGUUGUUCGGAAUUACUGGGCGUAAAGCGCACGUAGGCGGAUUGUUUAGUCAGGGGUGAAAUCCCGAGGCUCAACCUCGGAACUGCCUUUGAUACUGGCAAUCUCGAGUCCGGAAGAGGUGAGUGGAAUUCCUAGUGUAGAGGUGAAAUUCGUAGAUAUUCGGAAGAACACCAGUGGCGAAGGCGGCUCACUGGCCCGGUACUGACGCUGAGGUGCGAAAGCGUGGGGAGCAAACAGG